AUUGAACGCUGGCGGCAGGCCUAACACAUGCAAGUCGAGCGGAUGAGUGGAGGUUGCUCCAUGAUUCAGCGGCGGACGGGUGAGUAAUGCCUAGGAAUCUGCCUGGUAGUGGGGGACAACGUUUCGAAAGGAACGCUAAUACCGCAUACGUCCUACGGGAGAAAGCAGGGGACCUUCGGGCCUUGCGCUAUCAGAUGAGCCUAGGUCGGAUUAGCUAGUAGGUGAGGUAAUGGCUCACCUAGGCGACGAUCCGUAACUGGUCUGAGAGGAUGAUCAGUCACACUGGAACUGAGACACGGUCCAGAAUCCUACGGGAGGCAGCAGUGGGGAAUAUUGGACAAUGGGCGGAAGCCUGAUCCAGCCAUGCCGCGUGUGUGAAGAAGGUCUUCGGAUUGUAAAGCACUCUAAGUUGGGAGGAAGGGCAGUAAGUUAAUACCUUGCUGUUUUGACGUUACCAACAGAAUAAGCACCGGCUAACUUCGUGCCAGCCGCCGCAGUAACAC
rnacentral:rRNA from 1 species